rnacentral:rRNA from 1 species
CCCUAGUAACUGCGAGUGAAGCGGGAAAAGCUCAAAUUUAAAAUCUGGCAGCCUUUGGCUGUCCGAGUUGUAAUUUAGAGAAGCACUGCCUGCGCUGGACUGUGUACAAGUCUCCUGGAAUGGAGCGUCAUAGAGGGUGAGAAUCCCGUAUAUGACACAGUUGCCAGGGCUUAGUGGCCUGCUCUCCAAGAGUCGAGUUGUUUGGGAAUGCAGCUCAAAAUGGGUGGUAAAUUCCAUCUAAAGCUAAAUACAGGCGAGAAACCGAUAGCGAACAAGUACCGUGAGGGAAAGAUGAAAAGAACUUUGGAAAGAGAGUUAAACAGUACGUGAAAUUGUUGAAAGGGAAACGCUUGAAGUCAGUCGCAUUGCUGGAAAUCACACUUGCUUUUUUCAUUGCUUGUGGCUCUUUCCUAGUAAUGGGUCAGCAUCAGUUUUGAUUGUUGGACAAGGGUCAGAGGAAUGUGGCAUCCUUGGAUGUGUUAUAGCCUCUGAUCAUAUGCAAUGAUGGAGACUGAGGAACUCGGCACUUUUGUGCUUAGGAUGCUGGCAUAAUGGCUUUAAUCGACCCGUCUAAAAACCC